AUAUCCGGCUCGAAGGACCA
rnacentral:miRNA from 1 species